UACGUAGGGGCCAAGCGUUGUCCGGAUUUAUUGGGCGUAAAGAGCUCGUAGGCGGUUCGGCAAGUCAGCUGUGAAAUCUCCACGCUCAACGUGGAGGGGUCAGCUGAUACUGCUGUGACUCGAGUCCGGUAGGGGAGUGGUGGAAUUCCCGGGUGUAGCGGUGAAAUUCGUAGAUAUUGGGAAGAACACCGAUGGCGAAGGCAGCCAUCUGGACCGACACUGACGCUGAGGCGCGAAAGCGUGGGGAGCAAACAGG
rnacentral:rRNA from 1 species